rnacentral:tRNA from 1 species
AGGAACUUAGGCUAAGAAAAACCAAGGGCCUUCAAAGCCCUAAAUAAGAGUAAACUCUUAGUUCCUG